rnacentral:rRNA from 1 species
UACAGGGGGGGCAAGCGUUGUUCGGAAUUACUGGGCGUAAAGGGCUCGUAGGUGGCCAACUAAGUCAGACGUGAAAUCCCUCAGCUUAACUGGGGAACUGCGUCUGAUACUGGAUGGCUUGAGUGUAGGAGAGGAAUGCGGAAUUCCAGGUGUAGCGGUGAAAUGCGUAGAUAUCUGGAGGAACACCGGUGGCGAAGGCGGCAUUCUGGACUACAACUGACACUGAGGAACGAAAGCCAGGGGAGCAAACGGG